rnacentral:rRNA from 1 species
AUGAACGCUGGCGGCGUGCUUAACACAUGCACGUCGAACGGAAAGGCCCAAGCUUGCUUGGGUACUCGAGUGGCGAACGGGUGAGUAACACGUGGGUGAUCUGCCCUGCACUUCGGGAUAAGCCUGGGAAACUGGGUCUAAUACCGGAUAGGACCACUUCUUGGAUGUUGUGGUGGAAAGUUUUUUCGGUGUGGGAUGAGCUCGCGGCCUAUCAGCUUGUUGGUGGGGUAAUGGCCUACCAAGGCGUCGACGGGUAGCCGGCCUGAGAGGGUGUACGGCCACAUUGGGACUGAGAUACGGCCCAGACUCCUACGGGAGGCAGCAGUGGGGAAUAUUGCACAAUGGGCGCAAGCCUGAUGCAGCGACGCCGCGUGGGGGAUGACGGCCUUCGGGUUGUAAACUCCUUUCGCUAGGGACGAAGCGUUUUUGUGACGGUACCUGGAGAAGAAGCACCGGCUAACUACGUG